rnacentral:rRNA from 1 species
GACGAACGCUGUCGGCGUGGCUAACACAUGGAAGACGAGCGAUGAAGGAGAGCUUGCUCUCCGGAUUAGUGGCGAACGGGUGAGUAACACGUGACUAACCUGCCCCUUUCUCUGGGAUAACGCUCCGAAAGGAGUGCUAAUACCGGAUACGAACUCUGAACACAUGUUCGGAGUUGGAAAGUGUUUCGGAAAGGGAUGGAGUCGCGGCCUAUCAGCUUGUUGGUGAGGUAACGGCUCAUCAAGGAGACGACGGGUAGCCGGCCUGAGAGGGCGACCGGCCACACGGGGACUGGGACACGGCCCAGACUCCUACGGGAGGCAGCAGUGGGGAAGAUUGCACAAUGGGCGAAAGACUGAUGCAGCGACGCCGCGUGAGGGAUGAAGGUCUUCGGAUUGUAAACCUCUUUCAGUAGGGACGAAGCGAAAGUGACGGUACCUAAAGAAGAAGCACCGGCUAACUACGUGCCAGCAGCCGCGGUAA